CAAUAGCGUAUAUUAAAGUUGUUGCAGUUAAAAAGCUCGUAGUUGGAUUUCGGGGCAGCCUGGCUGGUCCGCCGCAAGGCGAGUACUGGUCAGCCGCCCUUCCUCUCGAAAGCCCCGACUGCUCUUCGUUGCAGUGGUCGGGUAGUUCGGGACGUUUACUUUGAAAAAAUUAGAGUGUUCAAGGCAGGCCUACGCCUGAAUACAUUAGCAUGGAAUAAUGGAAGAGGACCUCGGUCCUAUUUUGUUGGUUUCCAGGGCCGAAGUAAUGAUUAAGAGGGACAGUUGGGGGCAUUCGUAUUUAAUUGUCGGAGGUGAAAUUCUCGGAUUUAUGAAAGACGAACAACUGCGAAAGCAUUUGCCAAGGAUGUUUUCAUUAA
rnacentral:rRNA from 1 species